UGCUGAUCAUGGCAAAACAGAUGAAAAUCUGUGACGCAAAGCUGCAGGGUCUUUGUCAUGGCAGCCAGUUGCGCUU
rnacentral:ncRNA from 1 species